rnacentral:rRNA from 1 species
GACGAACGCUGGCGGCGUGCUUAACACAUGCAAGUCGAACGGUGAAGCGCCUUCCUUUUUGGUGGGUGUGGAUGAAUGGCGAACGGGUGAGUAACACGUGAGUAACCUGCCCCCUUCUUCUGGAUAACCGCAUGAAAGUGUGGCUAAUACGGGAUAUUCUGGGUCUGUCGCAUGAUGGGUCUGGGAAAGAUAUUGUUUCGGUGGGGGAUGGGCUCGCGGCCUAUCAGCUUGUUGGUGGGGUGAUGGCCUACCAAGGCGGUGACGGGUAGCCGGCCUGAGAGGGUGGACGGUCACACUGGGACUGAGACACGGCCCAGACUCCUACGGGAGGCAGCAGUGGGGAAUAUUGCACAAUGGGCGCAAGCCUGAUGCAGCGACGCCGCGUGAGGGAUGGAGGCCUUCGGGUUGUGAACCUCUUUCGCCAGUGAAGCAGGCCUGCCUCGUUUGUGGGUGGGUUGACGGUAGCUGGAUAAGAAGCGCCGGCUAACUACGUG